GGCGGCAGGCCUAACACAUGCAAGUCGAACGCCUCGCAAGGGGAGUGGCAGACGGGUGAGUAACACGUGGGAACGUACCCUUCGGUUCGGAAUAACUCAGGGAAACUUGUGCUAAUACCGGAUACGAUCGCGAGAUGAAAGAUUUAUCGCCGAAGGAUCGGCCCGCGUCUGAUUAGCUAGUUGGUGAGGUAAUGGCUCACCAAGGCGACGAUCAGUAGCUGGUCUGAGAGGAUGACCAGCCACACUGGGACUGAGACACGGCCCAGACUCCUACGGGAGGCAGCAGUGGGGAAUUUUGGACAAUGGGGGCAACCCUGAUCCANCGAUGCCGUGUGGGUGAAGAANGCCUUCGGGUUGUNAAGCCCUUUAGGUUGGGAAGAAAGGUGGUGAANAACCACUGUGACGGUACCAACAGAAUAAGCACCGGCAAACUCUGUGCCAGCA
rnacentral:rRNA from 1 species